UAGGGAAUCUUCGGCAAUAGACGGAAGUCUGACCGAGCAACGCCGCGUGAGUGAAGAAGGUUUUCGGAUCGUAAAGCUCUGUUGUAAGAGAAGAACGAGUGUGAGAGUGGAAAGUUCACACUGUGACGGUAUCUUACCAGAAAGGGACGGCUAACUACGUGCCAGCAGCCGCGGUAAUACGUAGGUCCCGAGCGUUGUCCGGAUUUAUUGGGCGUAAAGCGAGCGCAGGCGGUUAGAUAAGUCUGAAGUUAAAGGCUGUGGCUUAACCAUAGUAGGCUUUGGAAACUGUUUAACUUGAAUGCAAGAGGGGAGAGUGGAAUUCCAUGUGUAGCGGUGAAAUGCGUAGAUAUAUGGAGGAACACCGGUGGCGAAAGCGGCUCUCUGGCUUGUAACUGACGCUGAGGCUCGAAAGCGUGGGGAGCAAACAGGAUUAGAUACCCUGGUAGUCCACGCUGUAAACGAUGAGUGCUAGGUGUUAGACCCUUUCCGGGGUUUAGUGCCGUAGCUAACGCAUUAAGCACUCCGCCUGGGGAGUACGACCGCAAGGUUG
rnacentral:rRNA from 1 species